rnacentral:misc_RNA from 1 species
AUACUUGGCCAGCUCCAGAACCCUAUCAUAUGAGUAGGCAGCAAUUAGAUUGGUGAACGGAAAAAUAAAAUUCUACAAUCUCUAUAAACAACAGAACCAAAUCUAGAAAUAUUUUAACAGUUUAUCUACUAUUACAUGUACAUAUGAUUUCAAGACUUUAUUCACUUCCUAAAAGACACCAAUUACAAGUAGGCAUCCUAUCACUGUAAGUUUUUAAUAUUAAAUUAACAUAACAAAAUAAAAGUCACUGCAAAUACCAUGUAGUUAUGAUCCAUCAUAUACUUUAUGCUUUCAUCGGAUUCCAUUAGCAAGAUACAAAUUGCACACACUAAGAAUCUACCUUAUUCCUCCUCAAGUAAUAAAUUUCAUCAAACCUUAAUAUAUCAAAAAGAGCAGAGUAAAAAAAAAUGGCAAUAGCUGGUGGAGGGUUACAUUGUCUUUAACUGGAUAACGCACUGACUGAUACUCCCAAAAUAAACAAGUUAGGAAGAGAAAGGUUUCAACAUCUAACAUGGAACUUUAUGAACUAUUAAGAGUUUUAUUCUUUUGAACACAAGGUCUUCACCUUGGUAAGCUCCCAAAAAACCCAUAUUCCACCAUGAUAUACAACACGAGCAAGACAAACUCACCUUCCUAAAUCCUUUUAAUACCUGAGAGUCAAUUGUUAUUUCCCAUGCCAAAACAAUUUGUCAGCCCAAAUCAUGAAACUUUUAACAUCAUAUGGCUUGCCUCCAUCUUUGAUAGCAUAAACAAGAUCAUCUGAUUCAAAUGCUAAAAUUCAAAUCAGACACCUACGAAGGUGCUCAUACAAGUUUGUCCCACAUCACAUUCAUCAUCAGUUUUCAGAGGAUGGAAAUAUUCCCCCUAAUGAAUCAGCCCAGUUCACUGUAUCUGAAUGCUCUAUUUUUCUCAUUCUUCUUCUAACCAAAUUUUAUAGUCCCUUCAAUAAAAAUUUCUUUCUUAUUUUUUAUGAAUAAAUAUAAUUCAAUUUAAAAAUAAGCAAUUAUAAUGUAGAUGUGUCAAUGAAAUGGAAUAUAAUAUAAUCAACCAAAUUAAAAGCCUGGUACUGAAGCACAUCCUCAUUUACGACUAUUCUGGCCAACAGCAGCCUUUUUCCCCAAUUGGAUUGAGUGAAAUCUCAAAAUUGGAGUAUCUUAAAGAUUGAAUAAACAUCAUCCCUUGUUUGGAAACUAGCA